rnacentral:rRNA from 1 species
CCUACGGGGGGCAGCAGUAGGGAAUCUUCCACAAUGGGCGAAAGUCUGAUGGAGCAACGCAGCGUGGGUGAAGAAGGUCUUCGGAUCGUAAAACCCUGUUGUUAGAGAAGAAAGUGGGUGAGAGUAACUGUUCACGUGUCGACGGUAUCUAACAAGAAAGCCACGGCUAACGACGUGCCAGCAGCCGCGGUAAUACGUAGGUGGCAAGCGUUAUCCGGAUUUAUUGGGCUUAAAGGGAACGCAGGCGGUCUUUUAAGUCUGAUGUGAAAGCCUUCGGCUUAACCGGAGUAGUGCAUUGGAAACUGGGAGCCUUGAGUGCAGAAGAGGAGGGUGGAACUCCAUGUGUAGCGGUGAAAUGCGUAGAUAUAUGGAAGAACACCAGUGGCGAAGGCGGCUCUCUGGUCUGUAACUGACGCUGAGGUUCGAAAGCGUGGGUAGCAAACAGGAUUAGAUACCCGUGUAGUC